GAUGAACGCUGGCGGCGUGCCUAAUACAUGCAAGUCGAGCGAACAGACGAGGAGCUUGCUCCUCUGCCGUUAGCGGCGGACGGGUGAGUAACACGUGGAUAACCGACCUAUAAGACUGGGAUAACUUCGGGAAACCGGAGAUAAUACCGGAUAAUAUAUUGAACCGCAUGGUUCAAUAGUGAAAGACGGUUUUGCUGACACUAAUAGAUGGAUCCGCGCCGCAUUAGCUAGUUGGUAAGGUAACGGCUUACCAAGGCAACGAUGCGUAGCCGACCUGAGAGGGUGAUCGGCCACACUGGAACUGAGACACGGUCCAGACUCCUACGGGAGGCAGCAGUGGGGAAUCUUCCGCAAUGGGCGAAAGCCUGACGGAGCCACGCCGCGUGAGUGAUGAAGGUCUUCGGAUCGUAAAACUCUGUUAUUAGGGAAGAACAAAUGUGUAAGUAACUCUGCACGUCUUGACGGUACCUAAACAGAAAGCCCCGGCUAACUACGUG
rnacentral:rRNA from 1 species